GAAAGGCGGGACGCGCUGGGGGAGUCCUGCUCCCCGCGCUCUCUAACGGCGCGCCGCCAGCACUAAAGAUGGCGGGCGCGGCCUCGGAGGUGACGUCACAGCUGUGUGAGGGCGGGAAGGGGCGAUGGCGGCGCUGAGGGGACGGGGAUGACGGGGCACCCUCAGGGCUGGGCAGGGGUUGUGCAGCGCACACGAGCGUGUAGCACACACAGGGCAGCCCCCCAAUCUGCCGCCGCACCGCUGCGGACUGACUGUGCACACUGAGCAAAAACCAACACACAAGGACCGCUCCAGGAUUCCAGAAUUGCCGUGACAUUACAGAACUCGGAGUGCAUUCAGUUCUUUCUAGGAAGACGCAUAAUACUCAUGUUUAUGCACACUAAAAGUCCAUCACACCUCUCCUUGUGUGACAGGUGAUAAAACUGUACCACAUUAAUUCUUCCUCUGCCUGAACACUGCCACAGACAACCACUGGGCGACAGCACCCGAGAGCCAAACCAAAGGAGCGAGGAGAGGGAUCAUUUCCAUCAGUACUUCACAUAAUUGCCCUCCACAUCCUCGACACCGAAUGACUUUGCUCCUCAGCACCCCAGACACUUCAGUUAGGAACGGGAGAUCCCUCACUGAGGGUUCCAAAGCCCAGAGCCACAGCCGGAGCGGUGGAGCUCAGCAGCAGCAGGACAAUGGGAUGUGUAUUGGGGGGAAAAAAAAACCCCAGCGCUGACAAGUCCAAUUAAUAUUUCAACAAAACUGAAUGACAGAAUUCUGUAUUCAAAAACAGUUAAAUACAGAGAUCCGACUACCAAGCUCAUGCAUUAACUCAUCCACGAUGAACCAGAAGCAGCGGUGACAACAGCCCAUAAAAGAAUUGGCAAGCGUAAAAUGGAAAUGACUUUUACAAAAAGGUGCUGAAAGAACGGGAUGUUAAAUGAAGAUACAGGAUCACCUACAAGAAAACUGAUCACUAUCUUGGAAUGCUGCUGAAGGCUAAAUUCCAACCAUCACUGUCAGCUGGCUCGUGAGACCAACUUCUUGAUUGAUAAAUGGUCUGAGAAACUCAACCACUGUCAGCCUCUUCUUACAGCCUUUUCAUGGGAAUAUAUUCUAUAAAGUUUCAGCCUGGAGAAACCCCAAGAGCAAAGAACUCUCCUUCUACUUGGAGCUGACCUGCCAAGCAAUGACCCUCUUACCUGUUUCAAGAGUGCCAGGAUGUAGAGCGGGAAGAGGCGCAGGGAGUGGG